GAUGAACGCUGGCGGCGUGCUUAACACAUGCCAGUCGAACGAUGAAGCCCAGCUUGCUGGGUGGAUUAGUGGCGAACGGGUGAGUAACACGUGAGUAACCUGCCCUUGACUCUGGGAUAAGCCUGGGAAACUGGGUCUAAUACUGGAUAUGACUUCUCAUCGCAUGGUGGGGGGUGGAAAGAUUUAUUGGUCUUGGAUGGACUCGCGGCCUAUCAGCUUGUUGGUGAGGUAAUGGCUCACCAAGGCGACGACGGGUAGCCGGCCUGAGAGGGUGACCGGCCACACUGGGACUGAGACACGGCCCAGACUCCUAUGGGAGGCAGCAGUGGGGAAUAUUGCACAAUGGGCGCAAGCCUGAUGCAGCGACGCCGCGUGAGGGAUGACGGCCUUCGGGUUGUAAACCUCUUUCAGUAGGGAAGAAGCGAGAGUGACGGUACCUGCAGAAGAAGCGCCGGCUAACUACGUG
rnacentral:rRNA from 1 species